UCUGGAAAGGGGAGCGCCAGCCAUUGGAGGGAUCCAUCUCUCUUCAGCCAGGUCCCACAAGAAAAGCCAAUUCAGGGUGCCCAGCAAGGCCCCUCGGCCGUCGGGGAGCUCCAGUCCAAUGCCAGUCUCCAAAACCGGUUUCUGUCUCAGGAGGGGUGUCAGAGAAAUCCCCUUUCCCCCAGGGCUGCCCUCAGUGAAGGAAUGAACCCUGCAGGCGGGGGAAGCACCCUCCUUUUUUGGAGAUGGUUACCAGGGGAGCUGGCUCUGCUGCUCUUUCUUGCUGCCAGCCCUUGGUCUCAGUGACGAGCUUGAAUAUGUCCUGCCAUGUUGGAUGCAGCUCCAGCCUUUCUAGGACCCGGACUGCUUGUGGAGAAAGGUGGCUGCAACAGCAGGGAAAAGUCAUCCCUCAGCCUCUGCCGGAGACCCCUUCUGCCUUUGCUCCUUGUUUAGCCUCUGCACCUGCCCCAUCCCCUGUCCACCCACACUUUCACCCUGUGGUACGCAAUGCAGACAAGACACCGUCUGAUGCCUGAAAGCUUUUAUACACAACCAGGUAAAAGCCUUGUCCAGUGUCCAGAGACAACCUCACACAGCCACAGCUCCAGCCGUGUGGUGUCUGCCAGGAUAUCUCAGGACAGGUGCUGGAAUGGGGAGGGAAAAUGCUGGUGGAAGAUUCCUGCUUUUUAGUAAAUCUUUGUUAUCAUCA